UACUGUAGUUUUCCAAUGCAUUAUGGGAAAUAUUACUCUGAAUACAGUAUUACCAACCAACUGCAAAACACAAUGACAAACGUCUAUUUAUAUCUUAAAUGCUUAAUUUUUUUGUGAGAUAUUUGGUUUAAUGUCUGUUUUCACAUCAGAUGCUCGGUGUGUUCCUUUAACAUAAAUCAGGUGCCUUUUCUGAGGCUUUAAUGAAAUCACCAGCCAAUUCAAUAGACAUACCAUCAGUUCUUAAUAUUGUUGCCUCUGUGUCACAAAAUGUAUUUUUAAGAUUAGUUUAGGCGAUAAUAUAUAUAUGUAUAAUCUUCAAAUAGCAGUCGAUUAGUUAAAAAAGCGCUAAUUUUAGAAUUUGAUUAAACAAAUGCGGAGGGUUCAGGCGCGAGUCGGUCACGUGAUGUGCUCCUCAGUUCUGUCAGUAGGGGGAGUGGGAGAACGCGUGUGUGUCGUCGUAUCUGUUCUGCUCAUCUAGCGCGUAUUUCUUUAUUAAUAUCUGCUGGGUGAAUAUUAAUACGUAUAUGCUAACAUUAAUUUUGUGACCACAAAAUGACAGCGAGCUAUUAUACGAGAUAUUGUGUCGUCGUGUUUGUCUUCACUCACUUCAUCAUUAUCUGGUAAGUGCUAUAUGCAAUAUCUGGUAUGAGACUUUAUUGGCACUAAAGGGUUCUUUCGGCUAAAUUUUACUUAAUUUCUGUCAUAACAGCAAACAACUUCUGCAACUACACAAUGAUUGUCUGCCUGUGUGCAAAAUAAAGCACGUUCACUGUGUAAAACCCCGCGCAGGGCAUUUUCAAAUUAACGGUCAGGGCGAGUCUGAGCUUAUCGUGUUGUGUUGACAGAGACUUUGCUGAGUGUAUGUAAAUCUGGGCUACAGUCCACGACAAAUUUUCUACGGUAGAUUUACGCCUGCAUGCUGGUCCUUUCGUCUAUCGCGGGGAUAUCAUCACUUCAGCGGACAUCGCACUGAAGAGAUCCUGUGCUUGCGUGGCGGUGUGUUUGUGUGCUCACUUGGAUUGAGACCAGCAGUGCUUUUUUAAAAGUGGAUUCUUUAUGACAUCAAGAUGUGGUUUGGGAAGGACCUUCAUCUAAAUCUGAAGACGGGACAUACUGGCUCAAAAAGGUGUUUCUGAUAUGGAGAAAAACCCAGCACUGCUCAUUUUAUUUCUUCAUCUUGAGAAUACAGCAAGUUUACCUUUUGUCUGGAAAAUGAUUCAGCAAAGCUAACACCAACAACAAUUUUUCAUGGCACUUUAAACCACCUUGAUGUGAGGAGCCAGCAUCAGAAUGGAUGGUGUCAAUAUCCUGAAAGUGGAGGUAACAGAGGUGGAUCUCGAGACUUGGCCAUGUUCUAGAUUAUAACUGGAUUAUCACAAGUGCUGUCGCCCCUGCUGUAUAUGACGCCCCCACCACCUACACCAGGUGUAGGAAAUGUCGGUCCUGGAGUGCCGUUGUCCUGCAGAGUUUUGCUCCAGCUCUAAACAAACACACCUGAACAACUAGAUCUGAAGAGUCACCAGAAAACUACAGGUAGGCGAGGUUUUAUCAGGGUUGGAAAUGAAAUCUGCAGGAUUUCGGCACUCCAGGACCGACGUUGCCUACUACUGACCUACACCUUCAUCCUGCCACCACCACCCAUACUACCUACAAAAAACUGUAUUGUAAUUAUGCUUUUCACUGUAUUGUAUGAUGUGGUUUUCUCAUUUAGGGUAACUACACUAUGGCAACAAUUGGAUACAUUGAUUGCUGACUGAUUUUGUUAUUUUUUCUUUACUUUUUGUUUAAAAUCUAAUCAUUUUUUUGUUAUUUUUGUUAAUAUUGUUACAAAUAUACAGUUAAAAACUGCACAAUAAAUUGUCUGCUUUUAAAGA